rnacentral:rRNA from 1 species
UACGUAGGGGGCAAGCGUUAUCCGGAUUUAUUGGGUUUAAAGGGUGCGUAGGUUGCUUUUUAAGUCAGCGGUGAAAGUUUGUGGCUCAACCAUAAAAUUGCCGUUGAAACUGGAAGACUUGAGUGUGUUUGAGGUAGGCGGAAUGCGUGGUGUAGCGGUGAAAUGCAUAGAUAUCACGCAGAACUCCGAUUGCGAAGGCAGCGUACCGGCGCCCAACUGACGCUGAAGCACGAAGGCGUGGGUAUCGAACAGG